CAGCCCCUUAUAUCUCACUAUCUCGCUCGUCUCUCUCUCGCUCUCUCUUAUCUCCGGCGAACGACGAACAGCGACGCCCGGAGAUGGCAGCCGCGACGGAGCCCAGUAGCAACGAUGGACGGGCUUCAACACUGGAUGAGCGACGGCGGCGAAGCUCCGGCGAGGCAGUCCUGGCGGCGUUCUUCUCCCGUCCGGCGAGCAGCGGACUAGGGACCUCCUUCUGCGCAGCAGUAGCGAACGGCGGUGGUUGCAGCAGCAAUGAGGUCUUCGGCUCCAGCAGCAGCGAUGGGCAUCCUCUGUUUCCGGCGAACGGGCGGUAGCAGCGGCGAACCUGGGUCCUCCUUUAUCCGGCGUCCUCUCCUCUGGCACUUCUAGUAGUAAGAAGCAGCCAGUUAUGGCGGAUGGUUCUUCCCUCUCUUCGGCAGUACGUUAGCGGUGGUUUGGUUCGGCGGUGAGCAGAGCUUCCGGCGGUGUGGUGGCUUGUUGUUGAUGACGUAGAACGACGGCGAGUCUUGGACGAACAGAACGAAGAAGAUGGAUUGAAGGAUGGAUUAUCAAGGGCUAAUGAGGUUCCCUAUUGAAGUGACUAGUCUAAAAGUUGAACCUUAAAUUGGAUGCUAGCUUUUGGAGCUUUAGCUUUGAGGACCUGGACUUGUGGCUAGUUGAGAGCACGAAGUAGAACUUGUGCCCGAGAAUUGAUUAUGGUAUAGAUGUAUAGAUUAGAAUUUGAUCUGUUGAUGUUAUAGUUGGUUAUGAAUGGUCCAAUGAUAUGUGUAUGUGGAUUUAAACAGAACCUUAUAGCCUAUGCAUUUGAGCUUAGUUGUAGCCCAAGCGUGACGUAGCACCCCUUUGUUUAAGUUUUGGUUUCGCUUUCGCAUUUAUAUUCAGUAUUUUAGUAAGAAAAUCUUUUAUUUUGAUA